UACGUAGGGUGCGAGCGUUAAUCGGAAUUACUGGGCGUAAAGCGUGCGCAGGCGGUUCGUUGUGUCGGUGGUGAAAUCCCCGGGCUUAACCUGGGAAUGGCCAUGGAAACUGGCGAACUGGAGUGCGGCAGAGGGGGGUGGAAUUCCGCGUGUAGCAGUGAAAUGCGUAGAUAUGUGGAGGAAUACCGAUGGCGAAGGCAGCCCCCUGGGAUAACACUGACGCUCAUGCACGAAAGCGUGGGGAGCAAACAGG
rnacentral:rRNA from 1 species